UCAGGGCUUACUGAAGACAGGGGGCAAGGCUGUCCUUCUGUUUGCUCCAGCCUCAAACAGCAAAGCAACAGAUGUAGAAGACAGGAAACUUUAUUUGAACUCCCUAUAUAAUCUUGCUCCUUCCUUGCUACCUGCUGAAGGGUCCAGGCUCCUGCUAACCCUUAUUGGGUUAUUGCUUACUUGACAGUAAUAGAGGACUUCUUGCUCCCUGGUUGCCAUAGAACUGGACUCUGUGCCAACGUCACAUAAGGCAGUCUUGACAGACAAGUGAGUGGACGCGGAAGACGGCAUGAGAACUGCAUUAGAGAGAUCAACUGGCGGCUUCGGCAAUGGUGUCUCGAGGCAGGCUUUGGCUUCCUGGACAACGACCCGCACAUCACGACAAGGGACAUGCUCAGUUGGGAUGGGCUUCACCUGUCCUCCAAAGGUAAGCAUGUGUUCUCUUCUAGGUUGGCAGAUCUCCUCCGGCGGGCUUUAAACUAGGCUCACUGGGGGGAGGGGAAGAUGAGGGCAGGGGAAGCUGUGGACCACCAAACCAUGUGGCACCCACAAGGACAGCCCAGCCUGAAGAAGGAGAACAUUGGGAACCUGCAAUCCAUGGGACGGCCAGCACUACAGCACAGGUAAGCAAUAAGCAGGCAAGCAAUAAGGGGCCCUUUGGGAAUCAGAGCUGGGGGUCAAAAAAGGCACCAGUCACAGGGCUCAAGUGCCUAUACACUAAUGCUAGGAACAUGGGGAACUAGCGCUCCUGCUUGCAGAAAACACCUACGACUUAGUGGGGCUAUCUGAAACCUGGUGGGAUUCUUCCCACGACUGGGUGGUACAUAUUGAGGGUUAUAGGCUGUACAGAAAGGACAGGGUGGGGAAGAGAGGGGGAGGGGUUGCGCUCUAUGUCAAUGAGCAAUAUACUUCGA